AAAGGAAUAGACGGGGGCCCGCACAAGCGGUGGAACAUGUGGUUUAAUUCGAUGCUACGCGAGGAACCUUACCUGGGUUUGACAUGCAAGAAGUAGGAACCUGAAAGGGGGACCACCGGUAACCAGUCCGGAACUUGCACAGGUGCUGCAUGGUUGUCGUCAGCUCGUGCCGUGAGGUGUCGCCUUAAGUGGCUUAACGAGCGCAACCCUCAUUGUUAGUUGCCAGUUUACUCUUAGUAAACGCACUCUAGCGAGACUGCCCGUGUUAAACGGGAGGAAGGUGGGGACGACGUCAAAUCAGCAUGGCCCUUAUAUCCAGGGCUACACACGUGUUACAAUGCCGUGUACAAAGGGAGGCUAAGCCGCGAGGUGGAGCAAAUCCCUAAAAGCACGGCCCAGUUCGGAUUGCAGGCUGCAACUCGCCUGCAUGAAGUUGGAAUCGCUAGUAAUGGCGCAUCAGCAACGGCGCCGUGAAUACGUUCCCGGGCCUUGUACACACCGCCCGU
rnacentral:rRNA from 1 species